rnacentral:rRNA from 1 species
CGCUGGCGGCGCGCCUAACACAUGCAAGUCGAACGAGAGAUGAAGAGCUUGCUCUUCAGAUCGAGUGGCGAACGGGUGAGUAACGCGUGAGGAACCUGCCUCAAAGAGGGGGACAACAGUUGGAAACGACUGCUAAUACCGCAUAAGCCCACGGCUCGGCAUCGAGCAGAGGGAAAAGGAGUGAUCCGCUUUGAGAUGGCCUCGCGUCCGAUUAGCUAGUUGGUGAGGUAACGGCCCACCAAGGCGACGAUCGGUAGCCGGACUGAGAGGUUGAACGGCCACAUUGGGACUGAGACACGGCCCAGACUCCUACGGGAGGCAGCAGUGGGGAAUAUCGCACAAUGGGGGAACCCUGAUGCAGCGACGCCGCGUGGAGGAAGAAGGUCUUCGGAUUGUAAACUCCUGUUGUUGAGGAAGAUAAUGACGGUACUCAACAAGGAAGUGACGGCUAACUACGUG